rnacentral:sRNA from 1 species
UGAAGGACCAGGUUUCCAAGGACAAGGCUUUCCAGACAAUGGCAACCAUGUCCUCUGCCCAGCUCAUCUCCGCGCCUUCUCUGCAGGCCAAACUGGGUCCCACUGGUCCUCAGGUGGUCCAGGCCUCUGAGCUUUUCCAGUUUUGGUCUGGAGGAUCUGGGCCCCCCUGGAAUGUUCCAGAUGUGAAGCCAUUCUCACAGACACCGUUCACCUUGUCACUGACUCCCCCGUCUACUGACCUCCCAGGGUACGAGCCCCCCCAAGCCCUCUCACCCCUGCCCCCACCUACCCCAUCGCCCCCAGCCUGGCAGGCUCGGGCCCUGGGCACCGCCCGGUUGCAGCUGGUAGAGUUCUCAGCCUUCGUGGAACCGCCAGAUGCAGUUGAUUCUGCAGCACGGGCUGGAGAUCCAGCUCACCUCCGACUUCUCACCCACGGCCAACCAUCCUCAGUACCAGAGGCACCUGUUCGUGCACAUCAGCCAGCACUGCCCCAGCCCCGGAGCGCCGCCGCUCGAGAGUGUGGACGUCCGGCAGAUCUACGACAAAUUCCCUGAGAAAAAGGGUGGCCUCCGAGAGCUAUA